GAUGAAGAACGUAGCGAAAUGCGAUACUUGAUGUGAAUUGCAGAAUCCCGUGAACCAUCGAGUCUUUGAACGCAAGUUGCGCCCGAAGCCAUCAGGUUGAGGGCACGUCUGCCUGGGCGUCACAUAUCGUUGCCCAAUGCCUAUUGCAGUGCAAUAGGAAUUUCUAGGGCGAAUGAUGGCUUCCCGUGAGCGUUGUUGCCUCGCGGUUGGUUGAAAAUCGAGUCCUUGGUAGGGUGUGCCAUGGUAGAUGGUGGUCGAGUUAGAACGAUACCGAUCAUGUGCAUGCUCCCCAAAAUAUGGCCUCUAUGACCCACACGCGUCUUUUGACGCUCAUGACGAGACCUCAGGUCAGGCGGGGCUACCCGCUGAAUUUAAGCAUAUCAAUAAGCGGAGGA
rnacentral:misc_RNA from 1 species